rnacentral:rRNA from 1 species
AGCGAAAGGGAUUAGAUACCCCUGUAGUCCUGGCAGUAAACGGUGCACGUUUGGUGUGCGGAGAUUCGACCCUCUGCGUGCCGGAGUUAACACGUUAAACGUGCCGCCUGGGAGUACGGUCGCAAGAUUAAAACUCAAAGAAAUUGACGGGGACCCGCACAAGCGGUGGAGUAUGUGGCUUAAUUCGAUGCAACGCGAAGAACCUUACCAAGGCUUGACAUCCCGUGACCGUCUGUGAAAGCAGAUUUUCUAUUCGUAGACACGGAGACAGGUGCUGCAUGGCCGUCGUCAGCUCGUGUCGUGAGAUGUUUGGUUAAGUCCAGCAACGAGCGCAACCCCUGCUGCCAGUUACCAUCAUUAAGUUGGGGACUCUGGCGGGACUGCCCAAAUCAACUGGGAGGAAGGUGGGGACGACGUCAGGUCAGUAUGGCCCUUAUGCCUUGGGCUGCACACGUACUACAAUGCCCAGUACAGAGGGAAGCCAACCCGCGAGGGUGAGCAGAUCCCGAAAAGUGGGCCCAGUUCGGAUUGGAGGCUGCAACUCGCCUCCAUGAAGCCGGAAUCGCUAGUAAUGGCGCAUCAGCUACGGCGCCGUGAAUACGUUCCCGGGUCUUGUACACACCGCCCGUCACAUCAUGGAAGCCGGUCGCACCCGAAGUGUCUGGGGCCAACCGUAAGGAGGCAUGGCCCUAAGGCGAGACUGGUAACUGGGAUGAAGUCGUAACAAGGUAGCCGU